rnacentral:rRNA from 1 species
AUUGAACGCUGGCGGAAUGCUUCACACAUGCAAGUCGAGCGGCAGCGCGGGGCAACCUGGCGGCGAGCGGCGAACGGGUGAGUAAUACAUCGGAACGUACCCAGUUGUGGGGGAUAGCCCGGCGAAAGCCGGAUUAAUACCGCAUACGACCUGAGGGUGAAAGGGGGGGAUCGCAAGACCUCUCGCAGUUGGAGCGGCCGAUGGCGGAUUAGGCAGUUGGUAGGGUAAAGGCCUACCAAGGCGACGAUCCGUAGCGGGUCUGAGAGGACGACCCGCCACACUGGAACUGAGACACGGUCCAGACUCCUACGGGAGGCAGCAGUGGGGAAUUUUGGACAAUGGGGGCAACCCUGAUCCAGCCAUUCCGCGUGAGUGAAGAAGGCCUUCGGGUUGUAAAGCUCUUUCAGCAGGAACGAAACGGUCCUUUCUAAUAAAGAGGGCUAAUGACGGUACCUGAAGAAGAAGCACCGGCUAACUACGUGCCAGCCGCCGCCGUAAAAC